GAGGUUCUCCCGGGCGGGGCGCUUAAUGCGUUAGCUACGACACAGAAACCGUGGAAAGGUCCCUACAUCUAUUGCCCAACGUUUACGGCAUGGACUACCAGGGUAUCUAAUCCUGUUCGCUCCCCAUGCUUUCGCUCCUCAGCGUCAGUUACGGCCCAGAGAUCUGCCUUCGCCAUCGGUGUUCCUCCUGAUAUCUGCGCAUUCCACCGCUACACCAGGAAUUCCAAUCUCCCCUACCGCACUCUAGUCUGCCCGUACCCACUGCAAGCCCGAGGUUGAGCCUCGGGAUUUCACAGCAGACGCGACAAACCGCCUACGAGCUCUUUACGCCCAAUAAUUCCGGACAACGCUUGCACCCUACGUAUUACCGCGGCUGCUGGCACGUAGUUAGCCGGUGCUUUUUCUGCAGGUACCGUCACUUUCGCUUCUUCCCUACUAAAAGAGGUUUACAACCCGAAGGCCGUCAUCCCUCACGCGGCGUUGCUGCAUCAGGCUUUCGCCCAUUGUGCAAUAUUCCCCACUGCUGCCUCCCGUAGGAGUCUGGGCCGUGUCUCAGUCCCAGUGUGGCCGGUCACCCUCUCAGGCCGGCUACCCGUCGUCGCCUUGGUGAGUCAUUACCUCACCAACAAGCUGAUAGGCCGCGAGUCCAUCCCCAACCAAAAAAUCUUUCCACCACCAGACCAUGCGGCCGGAAGUCAUAUCCAGUAUUAGACGUCGUUUCCAACGCUUAUCCCAGAGUCAGGGGCAGGUUACUCACGUGUUACUCACCCGUUCGCCACUAAUCCACCCCAGCAAGCUGGGCAUCAUCGUUCGACUUGCAUGUGUUAAGCACGCCGCAGCGUUCGUCCUGAGCAGGGAAUCAAACUCAAG
rnacentral:rRNA from 1 species